UGGGGAAUUUUGGACAAUGGGCGCAAGCCUGAUCCAGCCAUGCCGCGUGCGGGAAGAAGGCCUUCGGGUUGUAAACCGCUUUUGUCAGGGAAGAAAUCUUCUGAGUUAGUACCUCGGGAGGAUGACGGUACCUGAAGAAUAAGCACCGGCUAUCUACGUGCCAGCAGCCGCGGUAAUACGUAGGGUGCAAGCGUUAAUCGGAAUUACUGGGCGUAAAGCGUGCGCAGGCGGUUUUGUAAGACAGAGGUGAAAUCCCCGGGCUCAACCUGGGAACUGCCUUUGUGACUGCAAGGCUUGAGUGCGGCAGAGGGGGAUGGAAUUCCGCGUGUAGCAGUGAAAUGCGUAGAUAUGCGGAGGAACACCGAUGGCGAAGCAAUCCCCUGGGCCUGCACUGACGCUCAUGCNCGAAAGCGUGGGGAGCAAACAGGAUUAGAUCCCUGGUAGUCCACGCCCUAAAACGAUGUCAGCUGGUUGUUGGGAAGGUUCCUUCUCAGUAACGUAGCUAACGCGUGAAGUUGACCGCCUGGGGAGUACGGCCGCAAGGUUGAAACUUAAAGAAUUGAC
rnacentral:rRNA from 1 species